AUUGAACGCUGGCGGCAGGCCUAACACAUGCACGUCGCACGAGUGUCGGACGGGUGAGUAAUGUCUGGGAAACUGCCUGAUGGAAGGGGAUAACUACUGGAAACGGUAGCUAAUACCGCAUCCCCUCGGAUGUGCCCAGAUGGGAUGAGCUAGUCGGUGGGGUAAAGGCUCACCUAGGCGACGAUACCUAGCUGGUCUGAGAGGAUGCCAAGCCACACUGGAACUGAGACACGGACCAGACUCCUACGGGAGGCAGCAGUGGGGAAUAUUGCACAAGGGGCGCAAGCCGGAUGCAGCCAUGCCGCGUGUAUGAAGAAGGCCUUCGGUUUGUAAAGUACUUUCAGCGGGGAGGCGUUACCCGCAGAAGAAGCACCGGCUAACUCCGUGCCAGCAGCCGCGGUAAUAC
rnacentral:rRNA from 1 species